rnacentral:rRNA from 1 species
CCCUUAGAUGUUCUGGGCCGCACGCGCGCUACACUGAUGCAUUCAACGAGUCUAAAACCUGGUCUGAUAGGGUUGGGUAAUCUUUUGAAUGUGCAUCGUGAUUGGGAUAGAUGAUUGCAAUUCUUCAUCUUCAACGAGGAAUGCCUAGUAAACGCAAGUCAUCAGCUUGCAUUGAUUACGUCCCUGCCCUUUGUACACACCGCCCGUCGCUCCUACCGAUUGAAUGUUCCGAUGAAUACCAUGGACUGAGAGUAUGAAUGGGUUCGCCUAUUUCUGCUUCUCGGGAAGUGGAGUAAAUCUUAACAUUUAGAGGAAGGAGAAGUCGUAACA